GGUCCCCAAGAUCACAGUGGUCUCCAUCAUUCUGCAGCAUUGAAGGUCCCCAAGAACACAGUGGACUCCAUCAUUCUGCAGUAUUGAAGGUCCCCAAGAACACAGUGGCCUCCAUCAUUCUGCAGCAUUAAAGGUCCCCAAGAACACAGUGGUCUCCAUCAUUCUGCAGCAUUGAAGGUCCCCAAGAACACAGUGGUCUCCAUCAUUCUGCAGCAUUGAAGGUCCCCAAGAACACAGUGGCCUCCAUCAUUCUGCAGCAUUGAAGGUCCCCAAGAACACAGUGGUCUCCAUCAUUCUGCAGCAUUGAAGGUCCCCAAGAACACAGUGGCCUCCAUCAUUCUGCAGCAUUGAAGGUCCCCAAGAACACAGUGGCCUCCAUCAUUCUGCAGCAUUGAAGGUCCCCAAGAUCACAGUGGCCUCCAUCAUUCUCAAAUGGAAGAAGGUUGGAACCACCAAGACUCUUCCUAGAGCAUUUUCCAAAUCAUGUCCAAUCAAUUGAACUUACCACCAGGUGGACUCCAAUCAAGUUGUAGAAACACCUCAAGGAUGAUCAAUGGAAACAGGACGCACCUGAACUCAAUAAGCACCCUAUUCCUUAUAUAGUGCACUACUUUUAUAGCACCCUAUUCCCUAUAUAGUGCACUACUUUUAUAGCACCCUAUUCCCUAUAUAGUGCACUACUUUUAUAGCACCCUAUUCCUAUAUAGUGCACUACUUUUAUGGCACCCUAUUCCCUAUAUAGUGCACUACUUUUAUGGCACCCUAUUCCCUAUAUAGUGCACUACUUUUAUAGCACCCUAUUCCCUAUAUAGUGCACUACUUUUAUAGCACCCUAUUCCCUAUAUAGUGCACUACUUUUAUAGUACCCUAUUCCCUAUAUAGUGCACUACUUUUAUAGCACCCUAUUCCCUAUAUAGUGCACUACUUUUAUAGCACCCUAUUCCCUAUAUAGUGCACUACUUUUAUAGCACCCUAUUCCCUAUAUAGUGCACUACUUUUAUAGCACCCUAUUCCCUAUAUAGUGCACUACUUUUAUAGCACCCUAUUCCCUAUAUAGUGCACUACUUUUAUAGCACCCUAUUCCCUAUAUAGUGCACUACUUUUAUAGCACCCUAUUCCCUAUAUAGUGCACUACUUUUAUAGCACCCUAUUCCCUAUAUAGUGCACUACUUUUAUAUCACCCUAUGCCCUAUAUAGUGCACUACUUUUGGUCAAAAUAUAUAGUACUUAUACUUUUGGUCACUAUAUAGGGAGCAGGGUGCCAUUUAAGGGAUGCAACGUUGGACUGCAAGCUGACUGGCCCAGCUCUUUCUGGUAACAGCCAAUCAGCCAUGCCGUUGUUGUGAUGUGAGUGAACAGUAUUGGUGACCAUUCUGG